rnacentral:rRNA from 1 species
UAAUACGUAGGAGUCAAACGUUGUCCGGAUUUACUGGGCGUAAAGAGCGCGUAGGCGGUUUGUUAAGUCUCAUGUGAAAUCUCCCGGCUCAACUGGGAGGGGUCAUGGGAUACUGGCAAGCUUGAGGGUAGCAGAGGAAAGCGGAAUUCCCGGAGUAGUGGUGAAAUGCGUAGAUACCGGGAGGAACACCAGAGGCGAAGGCGGCUUUCUGGGCUAUUCCUGACGCUGAGGCGCGAAAGCGUGGGUAGCAAACCGGAUUAGAUACCCGGGUAGUCCACGCCCUAAACGAUGGAUACUAGAUAUGGGGGGUAUCGACCCCUCCCGUGUCGUAGCUAACGCAUUAAGUAUCCCGCCUGAGGAGUACGGCCGCAAGGCUA